rnacentral:rRNA from 1 species
GACGAACGCUGGCGGCGUGCCUAAUACAUGCAAGUGGGACGCAAGGGAACACACUGUGCUUGCACACCGUGUUUUCUUGAGUCGCGAACGGGUGAGUAACGCGUAGGUAACCUGCCUAUUAGCGGGGGAUAACUAUUGGAAACGAUAGCUAAUACCGCAUAAUAUUAAUUAUUGCAUGAUAAUUGAUUGAAAGAUGCAAGCGCAUCACUAGUAGAUGGACCUGCGUUGUAUUAGCUAGUUGGUAAGGUAAGAGCUUACCAAGGCGACGAUACAUAGCCGACCUGAGAGGGUGAUCGGCCACACUGGGACUGAGACACGGCCCAGACUCCUACGGGAGGCAGCAGUAGGGAAUCUUCGGCAAUGGACGAAAGUCUGACCGAGCAACGCCGCGUGAGUGAAGAAGGUUUUCGGAUCGUAAAGCUCUGUUGUAAGUCAAGAACGUGUGUGAGAGUGGAAAGUUCACACAGUGACGGAGCUACCAAAAAGGAC